UACGGAGGAUGCAAGCGUUAUCUGGAUUUAUUGGGUUUAAAGGGUGCGUAGGCGGAUAUGUAAGUCAGCGGUGAAACUCACAGGCUCAACCUGUGCCGUGCCGUUGAAACUGUGUAUCUGGAAUGCGGAUGCUGUGGGAGGAAUGUGUAGUGUAGCGGUGAAAUGCAUAGAUAUUACACAGAACACCGAUUGCGAAGGCAUCUCACAAAGCCGUUAUUGACGCUGAGGCACGAAAGUGUGGGGAU
rnacentral:rRNA from 1 species